rnacentral:rRNA from 1 species
UUGUUCGGAUUNUCUGGGCNGUAAGCCGCACUUAAGCGGCUUGUAAAUUCAGGGUUUAAAGCCUGGGGAGCUCACUCCAUGAANCUGCCCCUGUGGAGGUCUGCCAUCGUGCUUGAUCCCGGGUAAGAGUUAAAUUGGAAUGUCCCGNGUUUAGAGGUGGAAAAUUCGUAGAUAUUUCGGAAGAACACCAGUGGCGUAAGGUCGGCUUUACUGGACCGGGAUUUACGUCUGAGGUGUCGAAAGCUUGGGGAGCAAACAGGAUUAGAUACCCUGGUAGUCCACGCCGUAAACGAUGAUNAUCUAGCUGUCCGGGGACUUGGUCUUUGGGUGGCUNCAGCUAACUGCAUUAAGUUAUCCGCCUGGGGAGUACGGCCGCAAGGUUAAANACUCAAAGGANAUUGACGGGGGCCUGCACAACGGUGGAGCAUGUGGUUUAAUUCGAAGCAACGCGCAGAACCUUACCAGCGUUUGACAUGUCCGGACGAUUUCCAGAGAUGGAUUUCUUCCCUUCGGGGACUGGAACACAGGUGCUGCAUGGCUGUCGUCAGCUCGUGUCGUGAGAUGUUGGGUUAAGUCCCGCAACGAGCGCAACCCUCGCCUUUAGUUACCAUCAUUUGGUUGGGUACUCUAAAGGAACCUGCCGGUGAUAAGCCGGAGGAAGGUGGGGAUGACGUCAAGUCCUCAUGGCCCUUACGCGCUGUGGCUACACACGUGCUACAAUGGCGACUACAGUGGGCUGCAAUCCCGCGAGGGUGAGCUAAUCUCCAAAAGUCGUCUCAGUUCGGAUUGUUCUCUGCAACUCGAGAGCAUGAAGGCCGAUAUCGAUCAUAGUAAU